rnacentral:rRNA from 1 species
UACAGAGGUCCCAAGCGUUGUUCGGAUUCACUGGGCGUAAAGGGUGCGUAGGUGGUCGGGUAAGUCUGAUGUGAAAGCUCGCGGCUCAACUGCGAAAUGGCAUUAGAAACUAUCCGGCUAGAGGGAUGGAGGGGGGACUGGAAUUCUCGGUGUAGCAGUGAAAUGCGUAGAUAUCGAGAGGAACACCGGUGGCGAAGGCGAGUCCUUAGACAUCUCCUGACACUGAGGCACGAAAGCUAGGGGAGCAAACAGG